AACGAACGCUGGCGGCAUGCCUAACACAUGCAAGUCGAACGAGAUCUUCGGGUCUAGUGGCGCACGGGUGCGUAACGCGUGGGAAUCUGCCCUUUGGUUCGGAAUAACAGUUGGAAACGACUGCUAAUACCGGAUGAUGACGAAAGUCAAAGAUUUAUCGCCAGAGGAUGAGCCCGCGUAGGAUUAGCUAGUUGGUGUGGUAAAGGCGUACUAAGGCGACGAUCCUUAGCUGGUCUGAGAGGAUGAUCAGCCACACUGGACUGAGACACGGCCCAGACUCCUACGGGAGGCAGCAGUGGGGAAUAUUGGACAAUGGGCGAAAGCCUGAUCCAGCAAUGCCGCGUGAGUGAUGAAGGCCUUAGGGUUGUAAAGCUCUUUUACCCGGGAUGAUAUGACAGUACCGGGAGAAUAAGCUCCGGCUAACUCCGUGCCAGCCGCCGCGGUAA
rnacentral:rRNA from 1 species